rnacentral:rRNA from 1 species
GACGGAGGGUGCUAGCGUUGUUCGGAAUUACUGGGCGUAAAGGGCGCGUAGGCGGCCUGUUAAGUCGGGUGUGAAAGCCCCGGGCUCAACCCGGGAAGUGCAUUCGAUACUGGCAGGCUUGAGUACGGGAGAGGGUCGCGGAAUUCCCGGUGUAGAGGUGAAAUUCGUAGAUAUCGGGAGGAACACCAGUGGCGAAGGCGGCGACCUGGACCGAUACUGACGCUGAGACACGAAAGCGUGGGGAGCAAACAGG